rnacentral:rRNA from 1 species
CGUAGGGUGCGAGCGUUAAUCGGAAUUACUGGGCGUAAAGCGUGCGCAGGCGGUUUAGUAAGACAGGCGUGAAAUCCCCGGGCUCAACCUGGGAACUGCGCUUGUGACUGCUAAGCUAGAGUACGGCAGAGGGGGGUGGAAUUCCACGUGUAGCAGUGAAAUGCGUAGAGAUGUGGAGGAACACCAAUGGCGAAGGCAGCCCCCUGGGUCGAUACUGACGCUCAUGCACGAAAGCGUGGGUAGCAAACAGGAUUAGAUACCCUGGUAGUCCACGCCCUAAACGUUGUCAACUAGGUGUUGGGAGGGUAAAACCUUUUAGUACCGGAGCUAACGCGUGAAGUUGACCGCCUGGGGAGUACGGCCGCAAGGUUA